AAGGGUUGGGUGAAGGUUUGAGUGGUGGUUUGUAUGGGAGAAUGGCUGAAUGGCUGAAAGUAUGUAUGGUGGUGAGAGGGUAUGUUUCUGAAUGGAUAAAUGGUGCGGCAAGGGAUGUUUGGAUGUGUUUCUGGUUGUGUGAAUGGUGGUGAAUGGUGUAAGAUGUGUAGAAUGGUCCAGGGAUAAGAUAUAUAUAGAAGAGUAUGUAAAAAACCUAGGGAAAUAAAGGUUAAGUUGCAGCAGAAAGUAAAGGGAAAAGGAAAGAAAGUUUUUAUUGAUGUUUUAGGAUUUAUGACUCUAAACCUACUAAGAAAAGGCUAAGUCAAAGUCAAAAUCCAAAGGGAAAAGGAAACAGGGUAUGGCAAAGGGUCCUAGAGGGAUAAGGGAAAAGGAUAUGCGCACAAGGAAAGGGAAACAAGGAUUUCUUGCACAGCAAGGAAGGGUGUGGCGACCCCUUUGUGGCUAGGAUUGGGUUUUCUAGAAACUAUAACUAAGUGUCCCAAAGUAUUUAGGAACCCUUCUUUGUAGCUGGAACUUAGGCGAUUUAGGAUUAGGAAAGGUUAGGACCAAAUAAGUUAACUUGGCUCACAUUCCUUGUUUUUUGCUUUGAUCUUUGACUUUCUUUUCUUGAAUUGAUUUCUUCAUAACUUUACCAUAAUCCUAGCCUCUUUUGGUCUUCAAUUUUGUCAAUCCCUCUUGCUCCAUGCAUGUGAUAUUCAUUUCAAGCCCAAAACUGCUCCAAAAAGCUCCAAAAUGCACUUUCUUGCUACUUUAGCCCUUUGGACCUACAAACACACGAAAAUAGCUUGAAAUACUAAUUUAACUAAGAAAUAAUAACAUAAAUGCACAAGAACAAGCUAACUAAGUCACAUAAAAAUGCUUCUAUCAAAUUCCCCCACACUUAGCUUUUGCUAGUCCUCGAGCAAAAUGAAACAAACAAAAUAAAACCUAGACUUUCCAACAUUUGCCUCAAGGAUUUCCAAUGAAACAUGACAUGCCAAAGAUCACUACUCACAUGAAUUUUAGCAAUCCUUACCCUCAAGCAUACACUUAAUCAUAGUCACCACUUACUACCUCGCAUUUAAUCAAUUAAAACAACAUUUUGAAUGUAGUAACAUGCCUUAGAGAAUUCCCUCAAUUCCUCACCGGAUUCUCUCUUAUUUUCACACAAGACUUUCUGACUACACUCCCUAUACUAGGUAUAUGUGAGAAGAUUGAUGUAAACAUGAAACUAGUAGUCACAUAUGCUUUAAACAAAGAAGCAAUUUCUGGAAUUAUUAAUGCAUGUAUAUAUAUAUAUAUAUAUAUAUAUAUAUAUAUAUAUGAUCUUAUGAACAGAAUGCUACUACUUAGAAACGAGAACCAGGGAUUCCAUAUGCUCAUACCAAUUCCAAACUUCACAGAUUGAAACACAUAACACCCAAGAUAGAAGUCAAAGGGUUGUAACGGGGCUAAGGUAUUGGCUAACAAGGAAAGGUAAGGGUAGACAAACGUUCUUAAAGUAAUAGUAAGCAAAGUAAUGAUUUUGACACUUAGAAUUCACUUUUGAAUGCAAAAAUCCACUUUAAACACAAAGGGGAAGUUCACAAAACACUUAGGGCCAGAUUCAAUCUUUUGGACCCUUUCUUCAACAACCAACAUUUGUGAGCUUAUUCUUUCUUAUUUUAAACUCUUUUUGUUUUCUUUUCUACACACUUUUUCUUUUCUUUUUCUUUUUCCACGUUUUUGUUCUUUUUUUUUUCAAACCUGUGCCCUAUUUAUUUGGCACACAAAACACAUAUUUCGAAAACUCUUCCCCCACACUUGUUUUAUGCACAAUGUUCAUCAAAAGGAAUUCCUUCUAAGUUAUGCUCCACUAUACUUCAAGAACAAGGGUAUGGAUAGACCUAUUCUAGGCUUGGUAGGGAUAAUGUGGUUAACAAAGAAAAUAGGCUAAAUAAGGCUCAAAGGGGGUUAAACCUACAAAACAAAUGCAUGGGAUGAAGGCUUUUUGGCUUUGGUGGUAACUACUAAACAACUUCAUCUUGUUAUGUGUUAUGCACUCAAUUUUAAGCUUUGAAUGAAAUGGGCAUGAGUUCUAGUAUUUGGAACUAUAAUGAUGCAAACGCAUUCUAAGUAGCAACCAAGCAAAGAAUAAUGAGAUAAUGCAACGACUUUUGAGAACAAGAAUGCACAGAUUAAUAACUCUCCAAAUAACGUUUAGGCUCAAGUCUCACAGGGAUGUAGCGUUAGUUUGAGUUCCUUCCUUCAAGCAUGUUACAAAAACUGAAUUUUUUCCUUUGUGAUUACAUGUGAACUCGUAAACAUCAACUACAACCAAGUAUUAACCAAAGAGCAUAUCAAACUUUCAUCCAUGUUUAUAACUUUCUUUAACAGUCAUGUACUUAAAAACCAAAUCCUCAUCAUUGUGUUAGAAAGUACCCUAAGACACAAACACACAAAAACGACUCUUUUUGGUUUGAUUUUCAUCAAAUUUUCGAAUUUCUUUUCAAAACACACUAAAACAGCUCAAAACGCACUAAAAACACUUAAAAUAGUGAGAAACAACAUUAAAAGUGAUAGGUGAUAAAAUCCCACGAAAUUCAUGCAAAAACUGCUUGUUUACCCCCCCACACUUAAAUCAAACAUUGUCCUCAAUGUUUCAAACAUAAACUCACACAAAAGCAAACAAAUAAACAAAGAACUAAACAUGGAAAAAUAAAGCAGUAAAGAGAAGGGUUAAAGAACGCAAAUCUGAUUUCGGAGUAAAAAGUCCAUCUUCUCCUUUCUUGAAUGUAUGGGUUGCCUCCCAACAAGCGCUUGCUUUAAUGUCUUGCAGCCGGACGAAUCUCCUUCAAACUGUAUUGGAACCCACGACAUGGAAGGGAAUGUCUUUCACAACCUGCCUCACAACAUUCUCGUAAUAGGGCUUCAAACGAUGCCCAUUCACUUUGAAUUCCACGCCAUUUCUUAAGCUUUGAAUGUGGACUGCACCAUGAGGAUAAACAUUAGUAACAACAAACGGGCCAAUCCAUUUAGAAUGUAACUUACCAGGGAACAAAUGUAGGUGGGAGUUGAAAAGCAACACUUUCUGCCCUAUUGAGAAUGUUUUGCCAUGAAUCAUCUUGUCAUGAAAUGCCUUGGUCUUCUCUUUGUAAAUUCGGGCAUUCUCGUAUGCUUCAUUCCUAAUUUCUUCAAGUUCAUUUAAUUGGAGCUUUCUAUGCAUUCCAGCCGCAUCUAUGUCCAUGUUGAAUGUUUUGAUAGCCCAAUGCGCCUUGUGCUCUAAUUCCAUAGGGAGAUGGCAUGGUUUGCCAUAGACUAGCCGAAAUGGAGACAUCCUAAUGGGUGUUUUGUAGGCUAUACGAUAGGCCCACAAUGCAUCAUCCAAACGUAAACUCCAAUCUUUCCUAGUGGCUCCAACGGUCUUCUCCAAAAUCUGCUUGAUUUCUUUAUUCGAAACCUCGGCUUGGCCAUUUGUUUGGGGGUGAUAAGGUGUUGAAACCCUAUGCUUGACAUUAUACUUCUUGAACAACGCCUCAAUUGUCUGAUUGCAAAAAUGAGAGCCUCCAUCACUUAUGAAAACCCUUGGCAUUCCAAAUCUGGAAAAGAUGUUAGUUUUGAUAAAAUUUGCAACCACUCGAGAAUCAUUAGAACGGGUGGCUUUGGCUUUCACCCAUUUCGAUGCAUAAUCAACCGCAAGCAAAAUAUAAGUGAAACCAUAAGAAGAAGGAAAAGGACCCAUGAAAUCAUUGCCCCAAACAUAAAAAAUUUCAACAUUGAAUAUGGCAGAUUGUGGCAUUUGGUCCCUUGCACCUAUAUUUCUUGUUCUUUGGCAACGAUCACAUAUUAUGCAAAAGGUUCUAGCAUCUUUAAAUAGAGUAGGCCAAUAAAAUCCACAUUCUAAAACCUUAAGUGUUGUUCUUUGUGUGCCAAAAUGACCACCACAUGCAAAUGUAUGACAAAAGCUUAGAAUUGAGUGAAAAUCAGAUUCAUGAACACACUUACGUACAAUCUGAUCAGGGAAAAAUUUCCACAAAUAUGGGUCAUCCCAAACAUAAAACCGUGCAUCAUGUUUAAGUUUAUCACUUUGGUGCUUGUUUAGGUUGCUUGGAACUUGUUUAGACACUAAAUAAUUCACCAAAUUAGCAUACCAAGGUUCACUUACCUCAAUGGACAUCAAUUGUUCAUCAGGGAAUGUAUCUUGGAUAGGCACGACAUUGGCAUCCUUUUCAUGCACCAUUUGGCUCAAAUUGUUAGCCACCACAUUCUCACUUCCUUUCUUAUCCCUAAUUUCAAUAUCAAACUCUUGAAGAAGAAGCAUCCAUUGAAUGAGCCUUGGUUUACCAUCUUUCUUUGUAAGCAAAUACUUCAAAGUUGCAUGAUCAAUGAAAACAAUAACUUUAGUGCCAAUUAAAUAUGAACGAAACUUAUCUAAUGCAAACACAACAGCAAUAAGUUCUUUUUUAGUGGUAGAGUAGUUUAAUUGGGCAUCAUUCAAGGUCCGAGAAGCAUAAUAGAUGACAUGUGGCUGCUUGUUCUUCCUUUGGCCUAAAACAGCUCCAAUUGCAUAAUCAGAUGCAUCACACAUUAGUUCAAAAUGAAGGCUCCAAUCUGGUGGAAUGAUGAUGGGGGCCGAAGUAAGCAUGUCCUUGAGCUUUUGAAAGCUUUCUCACAUUUCUCGUUGAACUCAAAAGGCACUGCCUUUUGGAGGAGUCGGCAUAGAGGCUGUGCAACCUUUGAAAAAUCCUUGAUAAAUCGUCUAUAGAAUCCUGCAUGACCAAGAAAGUACGAACCUCUCUUACUGAAGUAAGAGAAGGUAAGUAGCGUACAAGAUCUAUUUUGGACUUAUCAACCUCAAUUCCUUUUUCUGAGAUUAUGCGACCUAAAACUAUGCCUUCUUUUACCAUAAAAUGACAUUUCUUCUAAUUUAAAACAAGGUUAGUUUCAACACAUCUUUUCAAUACUAAGGUCAGAUUAUCCAAGCAAUCAUCAAAUGACUUACCAAACAUGCUAAAAUCAUUCAUAAGGACCUCAAUGAUCUUUUGAACAUAAUCUGAAAAUAUAAUUACCAUGCAUCUUUGGAAUGUGGCUGGUGCAUUGCAUAAGCCAAAUGGCACGUGAUGAUAAGCAAAUGUACCAAAUGGGCAAGUAAAAGUGGUAUUUUCUUGAUCUUCGAGGGCUAUUACUAUCUGAUUAUAACCUUAAUAACCAUUAAGAAAACAAUAAAAUGCAUAACCAGCUAACCUUUCAAGCAUUUGGUCAAUGAAUGGCAAAGGGAAGUGAUCCUUCCUUGUGGUGGCGUUGAGCUUCCUAUAAUCUAUGCAAACUCUCCAACCGGUUUGGAUAUGUGUAGGCACAAGCUCAUUCUUUUCGUUCUUCACCACAAUGACUCCAGAUUUCUUGGGAACCACUUAGACCGGCGAAACCCAUUUACUAUCAGAGAUUGGAUAGAUCACUCCACAAUCAAGUCGCUUGAUUAUCUCAUUUUUCACAACUUCCAUCAUUGGAGGGUUGAGUCAGCGUUGAGCUUCACGUGAUGGUUUAGCUUUUUCCUCCAAGAGUAUACGAUGCAUGCAAGUUGUCGAACUUAUACCCUUGAUGUCGGCCAAUGUCCACCUAAUGGCUGUUUUGUAUUCCUUCAACACCCUCACCAAUUUUUCUUCUUCUUGUUCCAUGAGAGUGGAUGAAAUUAUGACGGGCAAAGUCUCUUGUUCUCCCAAGAACACAUACUUUAAAUGGCUUGGUAAUGGUUUAAGUUUAAGUGAAGGUGGUUGCAUAACUUGGUUUUUAAGUCUCAUACCCUUCGUAAUGAACAUCUCAAGUGCAUCUUCAUUUAAUUGUUCAAGAUGUUCCAGCAAAAAUGAAUCAAUUACAUCAAUAGAAAAACAAGAAUGAUGAUCACUAGGAUACUUUAUAGUUUUAGAAAGAUUAAAAUCAAUAACUUCCCCAUCAAAUUCCAUAGAUAGCAUCCCUUUGAACACAUCUAUCUUAGUGCGGGCUGUUUUCAUGAAUGGCCUUCCAAGUAGAAUCCGCAAUAAGGAAGAAUGGGUCGAAUCUUCCAUCUCAAGCACAUAGAAAUCAGCUGGAAAGAUCAAAUGAUGAACCUGCACUAAAACAUCCUCCAAAACUCCUUUUGGAUAGGCAUUAGAUCUAUCGGCUAAUUGAAUAAUCACCCCAUCAUCUUUCAGCUCACCUAAGUUUGUGGAUGCAUAAAUUGAAUAGGGCAUGACAUUUUUGGAUGCACCUAAGUUUAACAUGGCAUGUUCAAAGUGAGUAUUACCAAUAACACAAGGAAUCGUAAAACCACCCGGAUUUUUGCAUUUAGGGGGCAAUUUACGUUGCAAGACGGCUGAAACAUUCUUACCUACUUUUACCACCUCUUUGUUCGAAAUUCUCUUUCUUGUGGUGCAUAGCUCCUUCAAGAAUUUGGCAUACUUCGGGACUUGUUUGAUUACAUCCAAGAGCGGGAUAUUGACUUGUACUUUCCUAAAUGUCUCAAGAAUGUCUUUGUCAUUUUUUUCCUUCUUUGUUUGCAUGAAUUUGUGAGGGAAAGGUACAUUGGGUGGAAUAGGGUUAGAAAUAACCGAAAUUAGACCUAUCUUACCUUUCUUGGACAUAUUGGAUGGAUUAGGGAGUGUAGGAGGCUGCGGCAAGGUUGUUUCCUUCCUUGCCGUGGCCUUCUCUUGCUCCUCCUCUUCGAUUUGCAACUUCUCGUCCUCUUUUUGGGCUGAUUUAGAUGGUUAGGGAUCAAUUCCCACCUCUUUUCCACUUCUCAAAGUGAUUGCUUUAGCAGAUUCAAAGCCCCCUUUUGGAUUGACAAUGGUGGUGCUAGGAAGUUUUCCUUAUUCUCGAAACUGCCUCAUGAACUCCGCCAUCUACCCAAUUUGCUUCUUGAGUUCAUUCAUCUCUUUAGCUUGAUUUUGUUGGCCCUGAGUCAAUGAAGUUAGUAACUUAAGAAGUGUAUCAUUAUCCAAAGGCGAACCUGAAUUGGUUUGGGUAGAUUGUGAUGGAGGUUGUGGUGGUGCAUAUGGCCUUGGAAACAUCCCAGGUGGUGUUUGUCGAAAUCCCUCUUGUUGGGCAGGUUGUUGUGGCUCUCUCAAUUUGAAAUUUGGAUGAUCUCUCCACCCUGGAUUGUAAUUGUUGGAGUAGGGGUCAUUACGUUGCUGAUUUGGUCUUUGAUAACCCACGAUAUAGGCUGUUUCCCAUCCUCAAUUUUCAAUCAAUAGGGGGCAUUGGUCAUUGAGAUGUCCUUGCAUCGAACACACUCCACAUAUGGCUGCAUUUCGCGUUUUAGAUCCAUCCACACAUGUGAUACAAGCGUAGUGAGGUUAGCUAAUUGGGAUUGAAUUUCAGAAAUUGCACUUACCUCAUUAACUUGGGGUUGUUGCCGUGAAGCCUUUCUUUGUCCAACGCUUUCAUAUUGUUGUACAUUUAAGGCUUGGUUGGCAAUUAGGGUCAUGGCAGCCACAAGUGUUUUAUCCACCAAAGCACCUCCCGCUAAGGCAUCUAGCAUUUAUCUUUCAAUGGGAAGAAAUCCUUUAUAGAAAUAUUGAAUGAGCUCUUAUUUCAUUUGAUGUUGGGGACAUGAUGCAACAAGAGCUGUGAAACGUUCGUAGUACGCCAAAAAUGAUUCUCCACGAUUCUGUUGAAUGCCACUAAUCCGCUUCCUCAAAAGAAUGAUUCUUGAUGUGGGAAAGAACUUUUAUAAGAACGCUAUUUUCAUGCUCUCCCAAGAUGUGACAGUUCCGGGGGCUAAUUCGUACAACCAAUCUUUAGCCUUGUCCAUUAGAGAGAAUGGAAAAGCUUUCAUUUUCAAUAUGCUUUCAUCAACUUUGACCGGGGUCAUGCUUGAACAAACCACUUCAAAUUCUUUCAAGUGCUUAUUGGGUUCCUCUAUGGACAACCUAUGGUACUUUGGAAUAUAAUGUAGCAAACUGGACUUCAACUCAAACUUUUCGGUCUUACCUUGAGCUGUCAUGGGGUAUUGGAUGCAUAGGGGUACGGCAUUGUCCAAUCUCGACGCGGAAAGCUCCUUGAUUGUUCGAUUGUCUGCUGCCAUAACUUGUGCUUCCUCAAAAACCAUUGCCAUGGCCUCCUCUUGCUCUUCUACUUCUUCUUCUUCAAGCAUGGGGUCAAGGCUAGGUGGAUUAGAUUCUUGUUGAUUCAUCUUCUUUCUCAAAGUCUGCUCAAAAUCGUUGUCAAAAUCAAAGAUAUGCUCACGAACCGGUUGAGAACUCCGAGUCAUAAACUAGUACCUAAAAACAAGAAAACAAAACAAGGUCAGAAACUAGAAACAAAAACACACGAAAAUAAACAAAAAGAAAUAACGAGGGAUCGUUCUAAAUUUGAUGCAAAAAUUAACUUAACACACAAAUUAAACCCUUUUGUUGACAAUUGUAGUAUAGAUAAGUAGGGAUCGUUCCAAACCAGGGAUUAUGAGGGAUUGCUAAUCUACUCUAAAUUGACUCAAAAACAUAAAAAUAAACUUAAAAACACUUAACUAGACUCAAAGAACUCAACACAAACUGAAAAGACUCGAAACUAACUAGAGUGACUCAAAACAGCUUAAAACAACUAAAUAGACUCAAACUAGACUCUAGGAAGUGAUUUGGAUGAAAAUUGAAUUAAACUUGACUCAAAACACUUAAAAACAUAAACUAAGACAGAUUCUAACUAAUUUAACACUCUAAGGUAAAGGAGAUUGGGUUUUGGACGAAUUUAAAGUAAAAACAAGUAACUAAAGACUUAAAAUAGAUUUUGGACGAAUUUAGUGAUUUGAAUGGAUGCUGGGCUAGCUAGAGGGUCCUUCUCCACACAUGAAACACUUGCAUACAAAUCAAUCUCCAAUUGCUUUUUCGAUAAACUAUGAAUGACAAUGCCCCAGAUUAACCGUGCCAUCACUAAUUAACCCUUAGAUUUUUCUUUGAUCAUUGAAUUGGAUGGAAUACGCAUCAUCAACCCAAAUUAUUCUCCAACAGUCCCCUACAUGCACAUCAUAAUAGAGAUACAAUCAAAGAUCAUUAAGUUAUAUGAAAAUCAUAAGCAUUGACAAAGCAUUCAUAAUUAUGACAUCAUGAUACUCAUGCUAGGAAUUUAACUUAACACGAUCAUGACCAGCAGCCUUCACUACUUGUGAAUAUAAGUUUGUAACAAUUAUGUGAAACUCCCUUAUAUUCUAGCAUCAGAUUCAAGCAUGCAAACUAAGUAGGCCUCCUUAAUCCACAUACAAGAAUAAAUUUUGAAUAAAAUAGUUAAGCAAAUUGCAUCCACACUUUAUGAAAUCACAACUGGAAUUAAUCAAUUCAUAAUGCAAAUAUGAUCAUGGUUUCGAAAUUCCCCCUAGCUAAAAGGGGUUUAGUUCCUCAUGUUCACAAAACAAAGAUAAACAAACUUAAACAUUGAAAUCAAAAGAUAGAUUACACCUAAGAAUGAUCCAGCAAUCCAAAAUUAAAUAGCAAGCACUCCAAGGGUCCUCCUUCUUCUUUUUGUUGCGACACAAGAGUUGGGUGAAGGUUUGAGUGGUGGUUUGUAUGAGAGAAUGGCUGAAAGUAUGUAUGGUGGUGAGAGGGUAUGUUUCUGAAUGGAUGAAUGGUGCGGCAAUGGAUGUUUGGAUGUGUUUCUGGUUGUGUGAAUGGUGGUGAAUGGUGUAAGAUAUAUAUAGAAGAGUAUGUAAAAACCCUAGGGAAAUAAAGGUUAAGUUGCGGCAGAAAGUAAAGGGAAAAGGAAAGAAAGUUUUUAUUAAUGUUUUAGGAUUUAUAACUCUAAACCUACUAAAAAAAGGCUAAGUCAAAGUUAAAAUCCAAAAGGAAAAGGAAAUAGGGUGCGGCAAAGGGUCCUAGAGGGGUAAGGGAAAGGGAUAUGCACACAAGGAAAGGGAAACAAGGAUUCCUUGCACGGCAAGGAAGGAAAAUGCAAGGAA
rnacentral:lncRNA from 1 species